UCCAAGUGUCAGAGGAAGAAGCGUCUGGGGAGAUCAAGUGACUUGCUCAGGCAGCUGGGAAGUGGCAGAGAAAGGAUUAGAACUCAGGACCGGCUCUGGGUUUCCAACAUUGUAUUACCUCUGGGCCAGAGGCACAGUGGUUGGAACUCAUGGUUUGCCAAAGAAAAGAGGCCUUGGUGAAAACUCCUUACUCUUGGUUGGAACCCUGAAGGGCUGUACCCUAGAGGUAAGGGUGAAAUGGAAGUAGACAAGCUCUGGCAGAGACUACCUCCU
rnacentral:lncRNA from 1 species